GUAGUCAUAUGCUUGUCUCAAAGAUUAAGCCAUGCAUGUCUAAGUAUAAGCAAUUAUACAGCGAAACUGCGAAUGGCUCAUUAAAUCAGUUAUCGUUUAUUUGAUAGUACCCUACUACAUGGAUAACCGUGGUAAUUCUAGAGCUAAUACAUGCUAAAAAUCCCGACUUCGGAAGGGAUGUAUUUAUUAGAUUAAAAACCAAUGCCCUUCGGGGCUUCCUGGUGAUUCAUAAUAACUUCUCGAAUCGCAUGGCCUUGCGCCGGCGAUGGUUCAUUCAAAUUUCUUCCCUAUCAACUUUCGAUGCGAGGGUCUUGUCCUCGCAUGGUUGCAACGGGUAACGGGGAAU
rnacentral:rRNA from 1 species